rnacentral:lncRNA from 1 species
ACUUCCGAAGAGAGAACCGCCAUGAAGAGAGUAGGGGGUGCCGCCCACCUCUGCACCGACAGCCUCCCCGAGUCCCAGCAGCAAGACGGCAACCACGCACCCAGCUUCUCCAGCCACAGCUCAUGCCGCCGUCGCCAGCGGCGCCGACAUGACAAGGCGCUGCAUGCCCGCUAGGCCAGGUUUCCCCUCAUCCCCAGCCCCGGGGUCGUCGCCCCCGCGCUGCCAUCUGAGACCCGGUAGUACCGCCCCUGCUGCAGCGGGAAAAAGAACAGAGAGUCCUGGGGACAGGUACAGUGCAGAGGGCUUGAGAAGGGGCCGGGUCGCGGGGGCACGGGUAUAGGGGAGGACUACGGACGGCUGCUCUUCAGUUCCCGCCAUCCUCAGCGAGCUCAGGCCUUGAUGUUCUGGGGCCUGCAAGCCCUCGCCCCGCCUCCGCGCGGGGGCUUCUGGGAGUUGAAGUCUCCUUUUCUGUAGUUGAGGUGUUGCUUUUGGUCUAGUGACCACCAGCCUAGAUGGCUGCGGAGAGCCCGCUUUAGGUAGAAGGUUGUUUUUCUCCUUUUCGAGCGCUUGCCCUGGGGCCCUCCCUUCUCGAAGCCUCUAUUUAGAUCGUUCUGAUCCUGGUGGUUUCUUGAGUUUAAUUAUGUAAGAUGUGAUAAGGAAAACCCACGAAUUACUUAAUAGUACAGUGUACACGACCAUUCAUACUAAAAACAUUUUUGGAAUGCGCCUGUUUUCUCUUUGAGUGACUUUCUCCCUCACCAACAGACCUUUCUUUUUCUAUUUCCUUUUUCUUCCUUUCUUUUUUUAUAUGGUAAGGAUUUUCUGGGAGCUAUGUAAUGAUGGAGAAUUUCAUCAUAUGACAUCCUCUGACAAUAAAACAUUCAAAUUAUCU